CGGGACACGUGGUAUCCUGUCUGAAUAUGGGGGGACCAUCCUCCAAGGCUAAAUACUCCUGACUGACCGAUAGUGAACCAGUACCGUGAGGGAAAGGCGAAAAGAACCCCGGCGAGGGGAGUGAAAAAGAACCUGAAACCGUGUACGUACAAGCAGUGGGAGCACGCUUAGGCGUGUGACUGCGUACCUUUUGUAUAAUGGGUCAGCGACUUAUAUUCUGUAGCAAGGUUAACCGAAUAGGGGAGCCGAAGGGAAACCGAGUCUUAACUGGGCGUUAAGUUGCAGGGUAUAGACCCGAAACCCGGUGAUCUAGCCAUGGGCAGGUUGAAGGUUGGGUAACACUAACUGGAGGACCGAACCGACUAAUGUUGAAAAAUUAGCGGAUGACUUGUGGCUGGGGGUGAAAGGCCAAUCAAACCGGGAGAUAGCUGGUUCUCCCCGAAAGCUAUUUAGGUAGCGCCUCGUGAAUUCAUCUCCGGGGGUAGAGCACUGUUUCGGCAAGGGGGUCAUCCCGACUUACCAACCCGAUGCAAACUGCGAAUACCGGAGAAUGUUAUCACGGGAGACACACGGCGGGUGCUAACGUCCGUCGUGAAGAGGGAAACAACCCAGACCGCCAGCUAAGGUCCCAAAGUCAUGGUUAAGUGGGAAACGAUGUGGGAAGGCCCAGACAGCCAGGAUGUUGGCUUAGAAGCAGCCAUCAUUUAAAGAAAGCGUAAUAGCUCACUGGUCGAGUCGGCCUGCGCGGAAGAUGUAACGGGGCUAAACCAUGCACCGAAGCUGCGGCAGCGACGCUGAUGCGUUGUUGGGUAGGGGAGCGUUCUGUAAGCCUGUGAAGGUGUGCUGUGAGGCAUGCUGGAGGUAUCAGAAGUGCGAAUGCUGACAUAAGUAACGAUAAAGCGGGUGAAAAGCCCGCUCGCCGGAAGACCAAGGGUUCCUGUCCAACGUUAAUCGGGGCAGGGUGAGUCGACCCCUAAGGCGAGGCCGAAAGGCGUAGUCGAUGGGAAACAGGUUAAUAUUCCUGUACUUGGUGUUACUGCGAAGGGGGGACGGAGAAGGCUAUGUUGGCCGGGCGACGGUUGUCCCGGUUUAAGCGUGUAGGCUGGUUUUCCAGGCAAAUCCGGAAAAUCAAGGCUGAGGCGUGAUGACGAGGCACUACGGUGCUGAAGCAACAAAUGCCCUGCUUCCAGGAAAAGCCUCUAAGCAUCAGGUAACAUCAAAUCGUACCCCAAACCGACACAGGUGGUCAGGUAGAGAAUACCAAGGCGCUUGAGAGAACUCGGGUGAAGGAACUAGGCAAAAUGGUGCCGUAACUUCGGGAGAAGGCA
rnacentral:rRNA from 1 species